rnacentral:rRNA from 1 species
UACGAAGGGGGCUAGCGUUGUUCGGAAUUACUGGGCGUAAAGCGCACGUAGGCGGAUUUGUUAGUCAGGGGUGAAAUCCCGGGGCUCAACCUCGGAACUGCCCUUGAUACUGCAGAUCUCGAGUUCGGGAGAGGUGAGUGGAAUUCCUAGUGUAGAGGUGAAAUUCGUAGAUAUUAGGAAGAACACCAGUGGCGAAGGCGGCUCACUGGCCCGAUACUGACGCUGAGGUGCGAAAGCGUGGGGAGCAAACAGG